rnacentral:rRNA from 1 species
GGCCUACACAUGCAAGUCGAGGGGUAACAUAGUUUGCUUGCAACUGAUGACGACCGGCGCACGGGUGCGGAACGCGUACGGAACCUGCCCCUGUCAGGGGAAUAGCCCAGGGAAACUUGGAUUAAUGCCCCAUGGUAUCGUUUUAUCGCAUGAUAAGGUGAUUAAAGAUUUAUCGGACAGGGAUGGCCAUGCGUACCAUUAGUUAGAUGGUGGGGUAACGGCCCAUCGUGGCAGCGAUGGUUAGGGGCCCUGAGAGGGGGAUCCCCCACACUGGUACUGAGACACGGACCAGACUCCUACGGGAGGCAGCAGUGAGGAAUAUUGGACAAUGGGCGGGAGCCUGAUCCAGCCAUGCCGCGUGCAGGAUGACGGCCCUAUGGGUUGUAAACUGCUUUUAUACGGGAAGAAACGCACCUACGUGUAGGUGUCCGACGGUACCGUAAGAAUAAGGACCGGCUAACUCCGUGCCAGCAGCCGCGGUAAUACGGAGGGUCCGAGCGUUAUCCGGAACCAUUGGGUUUAAAGGGUCCGUAGGCGGGCAUGUAAGUCAGGGGUGAAAGUUUGUGGCUCAACCAUAAAAUUGCCUUUGAUACUGCAUGUCUUGAGUCAUGGUGGGGUUGCCGGAACAUGUGGUGUAGCGGUGAAAUGCAUAGAUAUCACAUAGAACACCGAUCGCGAAGGCAGGUGACCAACCAUGUACUGACGCUGAUGGACGAAAGCGUGGGUAGCGAACGGGAUUAGAUACCCCGGUAGUC